rnacentral:rRNA from 1 species
GACGAACGCUGGCGGCGUGCUUAACACAUGCAAGUCGAACGGUAAGGCCCUUCGGGGUACACGAGUGGCGAACGGGUGAGUAACACGUGGGUGAUCUGCCCUGCACUUCGGGAUAAGCCUGGGAAACUGGGUCUAAUACCGGAUAGGACUCCUGGCUUCAUGGUUGGGGGUGAAAAGCUUUUGCGGUGUGGGAUGGGCCCGCGGCCUAUCAGCUUGUUGGUGGGGUAAUGGCCUACCAAGGCGACGACGGGUAGCCGGCCUGAGAGGGUGACCGGUCACACGGGGACUGAGCUACGGCCCAGACUCCUACGGGAGGCAGCAGUGGGGAAUAUUGCACAAUGGGCGCAAGCCUGAUGCAGCGACGCCGCGUGAGGGAUGACGGCCUUCGGGUUGUAAACCUCUUUCAGCUAUGAUGAAGCGCAAGUGACGGUAGUAGCAGAAGAAGGACCGGCCAACUACGUGCCAGCAGCCGCGGUAA